GAAUUCGAUUCCUACGGGAGGCAGCAGUGGGGAAUAUUGGUCAAUGGGCGCAAGCCUGAACCAGCCAUGCCGCGUGCAGGAUGAAGGCUCUAUGAGUUGUAAACUGCUUUUGUACAGGAGCAAAAAAAUCCCUGCGGGGGUUCUUGAGAGUACUGUAAGAAUAAGCACCGGCUAAUUCCGUGCCAGCAGCCGCGGUAAUA
rnacentral:rRNA from 1 species